AACGCAGUCAGACGUUGUAGCGCGUGGUUGUGCCAAACGGAAGACAACGCCAGCCAUCAACAAAAUCAAAUAAAAGACAACAACCAAUAACAACAACAACAAGAACAACAACAACGACUAGAACUAGAACAGCAGCCAGGCGAACGAGAAAAUUCUGGGCCAUUCCAUGUGAAGCAGCGCACGGAGCAGCAAGGAGCGCUCAAAUUCAAUCACUUGGGGGCAGCAUGGAUGAGGAGCACGACGACGACCGAAUAAUAUGAGAUUAGAUGGGGCUUUAGAGCCCCGUCACGGUGCUGCCACGUUGCAGAACCGCUUUAUUGGUGUUGCCAAGUAUCGGCGCGAGACGCGUGUAAAAUGUGAGCUACAGCAACAGCAAAGCGCUGACGAAGACGACGACGCAGCAGUAGCAGCAGUAGCAGCAACAGCAGCAACAGCAGCAGCAGCAGCAGCAGCAGCAGCAGUAGCAGUAGCAUCAGUCGCAGUCGCAGUUGUAGCGCCAGCAACAGCUAAGCAACUAAGCAGUAACAACAAUCAGAGCAACAAUAAGAACAACAACAACAACAGCAACAGUUGUCGCUGGGAGCAACAAGCUCAACACUUGUCGCCCACCCAGGCGCCAAGUACAACAACAAUAACAACAACAAGAGCAACAGCAACAAGAAAGCAAGUCAACUUGCACUUAAGCAACUUGGGCGCGACAGCAACAACAGCAGGAGCAACAGCAGGAGCAGCAGGAGCAUUACUAACCACUGCCGUCACCCUAAAAAUGCGUGUGGAGCACUCGUUAAUGCUAAUGGCGCCUUGGAUCGGCGGCGGCCAGCGCAUGGUUAGGAUGGGGCGUCACAGCGCAAACAAUGUCCUGCGCCUGAUUUCCGUUUUGGCGCUGCUGUUGCUGCCGCCAUUGCCGCUGGCGCUGGCCGAUGACGGUGACAAUUUCUUUGCCGUUAAUAGCUUCAGCGUGGGACCCGAGACGACAACGCCCGAGUUUGAUUAUGCCAGCCGUGGCCAGAAAAAGUUCGGUGACAAGUGCGAGAAUACCUUGGAAUGCGGCUUUCCCGGCUCCAUAUGCGAUCCCAAGAAGAAGUCCUGCCAGUGCACCGAGGAUCUGCAAGUCACCAAUCACAUUGACAAAUGUGGCAAGGCGGCUGCCAUCAACGAGUCCUGUUUCUUCAACGAGCAAUGCGAGGCGAUUUACUUUCAGACGGAGUGCCGGGAUGGACGCUGCAUAUGCCGCUUCGAGAUGUUGCCCAUCUGGGGCAAGGAUGGCUCCGUUGAGUGCAAAGGACGGCAGGACAAGCGAGGAGCCGAGACAUACAUUGAUCCGGCCAUGAUUGGCGUGCUGGUAGGAAUGGCAUUGAUGUUUAUUAUUAUUUGUGUCGUCCUGCGAUUAUUUAGCCAGGCGCGCUGGCAUGAGAACCGGACCAUAUUCAAUACGCCGAAUCCACGGCUGAUGAACGUCUCCCUGUUGCGGGACAACAAGUUGCUCCAUGGCCAGGACAGGCGGGGCUCUCGGAUGUCUGUGCGCGCUCCAUCCCGGCAGCCGAGCAUGGCCUCGUUGCGCCCACACUCGCCCAACCCGUCGCUAGGUAAGACAGGUCGUAUGAUACGCUCGAAGAGCAACACGCGCUCCAGCGACUCCCGUGUCAGCGAUGUUUCCAACUGUUCCCGUCUGCUGGAGCAUCCGAGCGCCGCCAGCCAGUACAAUGUUGUCCAUAGCCAUUUUUUGCCCUACGUGCCAACCACCACAGCAGCGGCGAAUGCUGCCAGCAGCACCACAACGUAUGCUGCCCCAGCCACAGCCACAGCCACAGCCUCAGCUACAGCCGCAGCUUCAGCUACAGCCACUGUCCCAGCGACGCCGACGCCGACGCCGAUGCCAGCGUCAAACAUCAUCGUUACGACCACAUAUGUGUCGUCGCCGGGCACGGCGCCUGCCUGCGGCAUGACUGCCAAUCCGGAUGCCAAUAAGUUUUAGUCAUAGGCCAUACAUACAACAUAUAUCAAAUGAAAUGCAGCCAUAUCAGUAUAUCAGUACCAGUGUCAGUUCCAGUACCAGUACCAGUUCCAGUUCCCGAAUCGGUUCCACGAGGCUCCCAGUCGGAAUCUCAUGGCAGCGCCAGCAAUGCGUCAGCCGUUUCGGUACGUUCAAACCGCAGCAAUUCGGUGGCGCCCGGC